AAAAUCGAUCAUAGAAAUGAAAUGGAAAAAUAAAAAGCCAGGAAAAAUAUAAAUGUCGCCAAUUGGAUCCGCAACAAGUAAUAUUCAGAGAAUAAAUCGAUCGUUGAAUCAAAAAAUAUAAAGAUAUCAAAUCUUUCGUUAUUCCGAUCAAUUUGUCUUAAUAAAAUUGUAAUCUGUAAAACAUAAUGUGAUACAAGUGCCAGCCAAAUCAACGAAACCAUGAAAAUGAAGAAAAGAAAAUUAAAACAAAAUGAAAGGCAAACAUCUCGUUCGUUCUCCAAGCCAUAUUUUCUCGCCUAUGAUUAUGCAUGACGGCGGUGAUAUCGCUUAAACGGCGGAAAGAAGGUGAGAAUUAUCGAUCGCAGUGAAAAAUACGCGAACGCAGAAAUUGCAGCACCAAAGUGGAUGGAUCGGAUGCUAAAAAAGUCCGGAUGCGCAUUGUCGUCGAGGAUAUUCGAGGAAUAACAAUAUGUUAGCUUGGACAGUGCGGAAAAGAAGAGAAAAUCAGAAGGCGGAGGAGCAGGGCGAAACGGAACGAGAGGAAAAAUGGAGUGUGUGAGAACCGAUGCGUAGCGAGCGCACUUGGCUCCGCAUAAAUUCUGAUCGGUGAUUUACGAGCGUAACACGUGUCCCGGGCCAGGAUGCCGAGUAUUUAUUUCAACGCGAAACUUUUUUGCAUAAAAUAGCGGGAAAACGAGCGGAGAAAUCGGAUCGAAGCCGGAAAUGGGAAUCGUAUUGUCGAAAAUGGCUCUUAUGCCAGAAUACAACAGAAUAUUAUCAUUAUCGUCGUCGAUGUUGUUGAUGUUUGUUGCGCAUUAAAUGUGCAAAGUGCCGGAAGAUGAUUAAUGUAAUGAAAAAAAUAACGACACGAAAAAAAUACUAUAAAUGGAAUAAGAGUAAAAUCUAUAGAUAUAUAGAUAUAAAAAAUAGAACAAAAAUUGGAAAACUGUCCCUGGAACAAGUGAAUUACAAUGUUCAUGAAAUUCGUGAAAAGUUAGUUACUAUUCUAUACUAUACAGGCGAAUAACGCGAAUUACGAUCAACCAUAUCGCAACUAAUUGCGAUAAAAUAAUCCCAGGUAUAUAUUAACAUUUGCGUUUUCUUAAUUAUCUUUGACUCGAUCCUAAUUUUUUAUACCCAACAAAUUUCUCAAAUUCGAUGAAAAUAUGACGCGUGAUUUUUCGUCUCAAAUAUUUUUUAAAGAACCGCGAAAGAUCGAUAGAUAAAAUAAACGCGAGAUAAGCAAGGAGAAAGUCGUGUCGUAGCGUCAAUGGUUCGAAGUACGAUGACAUUCGUUUCAAGAUAUCGUUUUAACAAUUGUAUCUUAUUAAUUGCUUUAACGUACGAUUAUAUCGCUGCUCGUUCCGUCGUUCGAAUCUUUGUUCUCUUAAUUUUUUAAACAGAAAAAAACGGUAGAAUUACAUAUUUCGAGCAAUACAUCUGUCUGAUACCACCGACGACGAGUACAAAUCACUUAAUAAUUCUCUCGGGCUACAUAGUAACAGCGUAUCGCAGUACCUUAACGAACGAGUGUUCAACAAUCUGUCCGUAGUGUAAUCUCCGGCAAGCAUUGUUCGUUUCUCCAACGAUUAAUUUGUCUCGCGUUAAUCGCGCAACGAUUUCUCACAGACACGAUUGUCCAUCUAUACACCCGACGAUCGUUCUAGAAUUUACGUAGGAAAAUGAAAAGUAAAAAGUAGCUUUGUAUAAAAAACUUGCAAAGAUAAGAUAAACUUUGCACGUUUCGCAUUUAGUUAGAUAACAAGAGUUCCACGACUUUCUAUGUCUAUGAAAUAAAGAAAAACUAGGUCGUUAUAAGGAAUCGAAACAAACGCGAUAACGCUUACUUUGAUUUCGAUUUCGGUGUGCCACAAAUUGGUUAUGAAUCGUCCUAAUCCAACUUAGAACAGGCGAUAUUCCGCGAAAUCGGAAUAAAAUUUGAAUUGGUCUUCGAUUUUUUAGGAAUAGGCAGUGGAAUAUCGUAAUCUAUUCAAGCGAUCUUAACGAUCAUAACACGAUAUUUUUUAUAGAAUUAGAGAAAAAAAACUACGUAUUUGUAAAAAGAAAAUUUCGGCUUCAACGAGUUUUUACGGGUAGACUAUGGAGCGGCGAUAGUCCAUUCGUACACGUACCAACUAUCAUCAAUUUCAACACGAAGGAAGAAACCAACGUUUUCACGAAAAAUCCACAGGAAAACGAAACCAACGUUUAGUUUGGAUUUGCGUUCCAAUUUUCCACAAAUUGACAACCAUCCUAGAAUUGAUAUAUCAAACUAGAAAAUAAGCCAGAUAAUGCGUCAAAGCUGUUCCUUAAAAUUACCCAAUGACACCACCAGUCACAACAUAAAAACGCUCAGGUUCGUCGCUAUUUCGUUCGCAGGUGUCGACAAUAUCCGUGCGUGUUUGGUUGGGUAGCUGCUGUAUUAUGAUUCUCAUUAGCACAAAAUAAUAUUCUUAUUCAAUAAGAAGAAGACGCCAGGAUGAGUCACGAGGAGUUCGACGACCGACGCGGCGCGGCGUAGCUCGGCACUAACAGUCUUUACGCGAGAAGCCAACCGACGGAGGAAGCAAAGGACAACGGCGGCGGCGGCGGCGGCGACGGCGGCGGCGGUGGCUAUAAAAAGAAACGCGAGUAAAUGGGAGUAAGGGAAUGUCGAGGAGGGAUGCAACGACGGGCUGAACGUAUCAACUCUUUCCAUUUCAUCGUCAGAUAGUACCGCGGACGAAGGGAACCUCUCUUAUUUCGUUGGACGCGUUAUUUAUCGCUACCUUCCCUUCGCUUUCAUCGGCGAUCGAAUAGUCACUUGACGAUAUUGUCGUUUACAACGGAAUACGAGGCUCGUUCGGGGUCGACACAAUUUACAGAAACGCCAAGACGACUAAGAAGCGCGGCAAGAAUUCGUAAUGAACCGUGUCCACGCGCGAAGGAAGAUUCUUCGCAUAAAGCAGCGUGGAAACAAACUUCAACGUUAACUCGUAACGCGAUGGGAAUUAAACGAAGAAAGAGGAGGAGAAACGUGUAAAGAAGAAACGUUAGAUAGAUAGAUAGAUAGAUAGAUACUUGCAAUGAAGCACUGCAGCGAACCGUCAAGGGAAUAUAUCUAUCGUCUCAAAAUAUCUAUACGAAUCUAAGAAAAGACAAGAUUUUCAGGACAAAAUCGUGGAAACACAGAACAACGUUUAGGUUUUUCUUCUAAAUUUUCCACAAAUUGUCAAAGAAUUCGCAACUAAUGAACUAACAAAUUAAAUACGAAUUCGAGUCUUUCCUACGUUAAAAUGUCCUGUCCGAAGCGUUUAAAUAAUCUGUAUGUAUGAGUAUCAAUAAUAAAUAAUUAUAGGUAUAGGCUGUUGUGGAAUAAUUAUAAAUAAUAACGAUACGUGUUUGUAGUUCUCUCGGUUGUUUCAAAUACAACAUUCGAACUAAUCGAUGUCUAAAAAUUUCUUCGCAAAACAUAUGAUAAAAAUUGCGGCAAUACAAAACUAUUAUUGAUAGAGAAAUAUUGUUAAUAGAAAAAAGAUUUGAACGUUAACUAGUCGCGCAACGGGAAUUAAGCGAAUAAACCGGAACAAAGAAUGAAGAAACGAUGGAUAUUUACGAUGGAGCAUCGGCGUGAACCAUAAAGGGAAGCACUCGGAAGAAGAAAGUCUGCUGAAGGGUGCUCGAGAUUUACAAGAAAAUACAACGUGAUUUUGGAAGUCUGACUGGCUGGCUGACUGGAUUUUUAUGAGACCUAUGGUGCUAAGGAGAAACGUAAUCCGCAUGAUGAACGUUUCUUACUUUUUUCCUUUUUUUAACCAUUUCAUUGAGCUAUUCCUUUUUUCUUUUUUUAAUUGACUUAUAUUCCACUAUAUAUUGUAUUAUAACUUAUAUUCCAUUAAAAAAAUUAGUUUGUA